UGGACCUCGGAUCAGGUAGGGAUACCCGCUGAACUUAAGCAUAUCA
rnacentral:rRNA from 1 species